AUUCGCUGUGUGACUCAGGGCAAGUGUGCGCACCUCUCUGAGCCUCCGCGGCCUUCUCUAGCAAAAUGGUGGAUUUCUCCACGUUGGUCAGGCUGGCCUCGAACUCCCACCCUCAGGUGAUCCACCUGCCUUGGCCUCCUAAAGUUCUGGGAUUACAGGCAUGAGCCACUGCACCCAACCUGAAUAAUCUAUUAGAGUCUUUAUCUCUAAGAAGAGAAAUACAUCUGAACUAAAGGGUAAAAAAUGGCAUGUUUUAAUUGGUAAGUCU
rnacentral:lncRNA from 1 species